rnacentral:lncRNA from 1 species
CAAAUUCUGGUUUAUUUGCAUUCAUAGGAAACACCUAAGGACUUUUAAACCUCAAAGAUGAGGGUGGGAACAACAGAGAAGAACCUAUUAUUGGGCCACCUAUCAAGCAAAAAGAAAAUACAGCAAUACAAGGUCUCCAGAUUUGCCACCCAUGCUGAGUGCCGUGGUGUGAUCAUGGCUUAUUUCAACCUCAACCUCCCCCACUCAAGCGAUCCUCCUGCCUCAGCCUCUGGAGUAGCUGGGACUACAGGCACGCACCACCACACCCAGCCAUAAUUUGCCUCUUGCUGUAACUAAAAGGUCACAAAAACAAAGAAUUCUAAAAAAUCUUCUUCUUAAGUGUGCCUCACUACCACAAAUUAUGCAGUCAAGUCUCCCAUAUUUGGGGACAUCGCAGGGGUCAGCAUGUCCAGAGUGCAAUGGAUAAGCCUUGCCCUGGGAAAACCACCUUCGUGAUCAUGGUUAUCUCCCCUGCCAGUUUUCUCUUAUAACAGAAUGAAGAUAACACCGAAAGUGACAAUGUCAAGUCAGACCCAUAGGACUCAGAGAUUUUACUCAAUAGCAACAUUUACUAAUUCAAGGGAAAAGAUAACUGUAAGACACAGGUGAAGCUCUGUGACCCACUCAGGUCCUCACUUUGCUUCUUGACUGUGUGCCAGAAAUAAGAGUCUCUCUGUGAGCUCUUGCCCUCAGCCUUUAACUGCUUGCCGAUGGUCACCAGUUGCUGGUGGUGAGCUCCCUGCUGAUGUCCUGUUUCUUUGUUAAGCAUAGGAGAUGACUUCAGGGUCAUGAAAAAUCUUUGCAGAAGGGAUGAGUGCAUUUAGGGAAAUUGUGACCAGCUACUGACAUCCACGAGUCUGGUUGCUCAAGGUGCUAUCUGAGACUGAACAAACACAGACUUUUCCUCUUUCAGGAGUUCCCUGAAACUCCUCCAACUUACUCUCUAGCUGUACAAAAACUGUGUGCUGCUUCUUUCUGUUAAGAUAGAUUUGUGAGAUCUUGCCCCAUCCCACCAUCUUCUUGCUUUGGCCAAAUUGAAUAAAUCUUUUUUUCGAAGCACCUGUAUGUCAGUGUGUUUGCAUCAGCUGUACAUUGGCGACACAAGCUUGAACUUGGGGUUUUACAACAACACCUGGAUAGAUUCUCCUGAGGACAUUGAGUUUACAAAUGCGUACCCUCUUUCCUGCAGCCCUCAGGGCUUGCAGAAGCAGCCCAUUCUUCCCUGGUGAAAGCUGGGACUGCCUUCAAGCUGGAGGUCGUGGCUGCAGAGGCCUCUACCCGACAAAGCAUUAGGUGUGCUCCUGGAGAAUAGCCCACUUCUUCCCAAAGCUGACAGGACCAUAGCUAGAAGUAACACCCAGCAUCAGCCGACGCAGAGAAUGACGGACUUGAAAUUGACUGUACGUCAAAGGGGAAACUUAACUGCUACAGUGGACUUUAGAAGAGAUGGCCACCAUAGAUUCACGUGGAAAUGUUCCAGUUCCCUUGGAAAAUGUUAGAAGAAAUGCUGACAAUUGAGAAAUAUGGGAAUUCUGGAAUGGGCAUAUUGCAUAAGACCAGAAAACUCACCUAAAUUUUGUGUUGUCUGGGAAUGCCCAAAGGACACAUUAUUCACCAAGGCCAUUCAGAAUGCUUUGGAGAGGCAGGCACCGGAAUUACUAACAAAUUCGGUCAUAACUGUCCUCUGCAUGCCACAGCUGAUAGUAAAAAAGGGAGUUACAGUUUUGGGCUCAAAUAUAUAUAAACACGCCCCAAAGCAUUAGAGGCUAGGUGCAGCUCUUAACUGCUGGAAUCCAGAAAGUGGCAAUUACCACAGUGACCAGCAGGUCCUUUGCUUACUUUUUAAUGCCAUACAUAUAUAUGUGUGUGUGUGUGUAUAUAUAUAUAUAUAUAUAUAUAUAUAUAUACACACACACACAUAUAUAUACGUGUAUCACAUGUAUAUACGUAUAUAUACACGUAUAUACACGUAUAUAUACGUGUAUAUAUAUAUAUAUUUCUGUUGAGUGUUUUGGGUUCCUUGCACACUGGAUAUUAGUCCCUUGUCAGAUAAAUAGUUUGCAAAUAUUUUCUCCCACUCAUGUUGUCUCUUCACUCUGUUAAUUAUUUCCUUUGCUGUGCAGAAGCUUUUUCAUUUAAUAUAGUCCCAGCCAGGCACGGUGGCUCAUGCCUCUAAUCCCAGCACUUUGGGAGGCUGAGAUGGGCGGAUCACCUGAGGUCAGGAGUUCAAGACCAGCCUGAGCAACAAGGUGAAACCCCAUCUCUACUAAAAAUACAAAAAUUAGCCUGUGUGUUGGCAGGCACCUGCAAUCCCAGCUACUUGGGAGGCUGAGACGGGAGAAUUGCUUGAACCUGGGAGGCAGUGGUUGCAGUGAGCUGAGAUCACGCCAUUGCUCUCCAGCCUGGACAAUGGAGCGAGACUCCGUCUCAAAAAAAAUAAAUAAAUAAAUUUAAAAAAUAUAUAUAUGUGUGUGUGUGUGUGUGUGUGUGUGUGUGUAUAGUCCCAUUUGUCCAUUAUAGAUCAAGAAAUUGUUUCUAGACACAGAAACAUGGAGAAAUCUUAGGAAAAAAAUAGAGCUGAGUGAAAAAAGUUGGGAAUAGAAUAUAUAAAGGUCAAUAUUACUUACAUAAAUUUGGAAUACAUGUAAAAAGCAGUACAUGUUUUAUUGGAAAGGCUGAAAUGAAAUAGUAACCUCAAACACCUUAGGAGGUUUGCAUGGUGAAGGAAAGGGAUGCAGCUGAGAGAACAGAGGAAAAGGGAAAAUGCAAAUUAAGGAAAUGGAGAGAAGUUCUUCAUAGACAAGUGAUGGGUGCUGCCUCUUCAGACUGAACGAUGUGAUCAUUGAUCCCGUGUUUUAAGAUGGAAACAAAAGACAAUUUGACUAAGUGGUGUGGUGAGGAGCUACUCGAGCUCAUUAGCUAGCUUGAAAUUCAUAGUAAAAUUCAUGAUGAUAUAUCUUUCCACAUCUGCCCAAUUAGGGGAGAGGAAAUAGUCUGACAUUAUCAAGUGGUGGUGAGUAUGUGGUAAACUGACACUCACAUACUCUGUUUUUAGUAAACGUAAAUUUUAUUUAAUGGAUACCUUUAAUUUAUUUUAACUUAAUAAGAAAUUUCAUUUUGAAAACAGUUUUGAGUAGAACAAUUUUCUAGUUUCACCAACAAAAUGAACAUGUGUUUUCAAUAAAUAUUUUCAGAAAUAUGCAUAAUCUUAGUCAUUUUAACAUUCAUUUUUACUCUCAAAAUCUUCCCAAUGGGAAGAUAAAGUAUGUCGUCAAUUUUGCCUUGAGUUCUUAGGAAGGCAUAUGUGAGUUAUUCGUCUCGGGUUUUUUUUUGUUUUCUUUUUUGUUUUUUUGUGGGGUUUUUUGGUGGUUAUCAAGGCAUUGAAGGCAAACUAGGAACACAUAGGAAAAAGUUGCAAAGGAGUUUGCAAUUUACCUCGUGUAUUAGUCAGGCUUCUUCAGAGACUGGCUCACCUCAUGAAGGCUGAAAAAUCCAGAGGUCUACAGUAGCAAGCUGGAGACCCAAGAAAGCUAGUGGUGUAGUUCCAGUCUGAGUCCAAAAGCCUGAGAAAUAAAAAGAGCUAAAGGUGUAAGUUCAGUCUGAGGGAAAGAAAAGACUGAUGUCUGAGAUCAGCAUUCAGGCAGGCAAAGUUCUCUGUUAUCCAGGCUUUCGUUCUAAUCAAGCCUUCAAUUGAUUGGAUGAGGCCCACACACUUUAGCUGCUGUGUCAAAUUUAUCUACUGAUUCAAAUGUUAAUUUCCUCCAGAAACACCCUCUGAGACACACUCUAUGUUUGACCAAAUAUCUGGGCACCCUGUGGACCAGUCAAGAUGCCACAUAAAAUUAACCAUUACAACGUCAAGUAUUUGAAAACAUACAUAUUUUAUGACACAGAAAGUCUACUAUUAGAUUUAUAACCUAGAAUAACUCUCCCAUAUGUGCACCAAACAUUUCAACUCCUCAUCAACAGAAGAACAGAUAACUACAUUGAGAUAUUAACAUACAAUGGAAUAUUGUAGGCAGUGGAAAUGAAUAAGUAGAUGACUUCAACCAGCAUGGUUGAAUCUCAAGUACUAAAUACUGGGAGAGGAGUCACAAUGCAAGGCAUACAGAGUGUUUCCAAAUUAAAAAAACGUAUAUAAAAACAGGAGAAAUUUUCCACAUAGAGAAAGGGAACAAUAAUAUAAAGAGAUUUAUUAGCAAAGCCAGUUCAGGAACAAGAUCACCAUGGUGAGAAAGGGAGAAAGAUGGCAGGAGUUAGGACAGGCUUAGGACCAUGCAUAGAGCAGAGGCAUGAGAUGUUUUUCAGCCUGAGGGACAGGAACAGGAUGUUCUUUUAUUAUUCUUUAAAAUAUGCAUCUGUUUUAUGAGCCCUUAUGAGCCUGUGCUACGUUAUAUAAAACUUUUACAAAAUGGAAUUUGGAAUACCAUGUUAGAUUAUUUGUGGGGCUUUUUAAGAAUCAAAACUUGUUAAAAUCUUCAUGCAAUACUGUUCUGCUUAUCUUUAAGGAAUUUUAUAUCUAAGUGCCACUACAAGCAGGCUAUUUACUAACAAGAACAAAAUUAAGGCUCAGUGUGGGCAGUGUCUGUUACUCAGUUCCAUGAUGAAAAUCCCCAGGUAACUCUGAUCUUGGCCUCUAAUCUACAGGAGAAAAAAUCUAGAAUGGUGAGAUUUUCAGUACUGCUUCCUCCAAUGCAAACACCAUGCACUGAAAUUACAUUACUCUUCCCAUUCUAGCUACUUUAACAUAUGGUCUCCUUCCACAUCUAUGAUGUUAAAACAUGAAAUCUCACACAGAAGAAUGGGAAUGGACCCUACAUAACGUUCAUCUAAGAGGCUAGAACAAGCUGUGGCCCACCAGUGACAAAAUGGCAAAGAUGCCUUGUUGUCAAAGAGAGAAAGAAGUCCUUUCACUUUGCCAAUAUUCUCAACUUCGCAUAAACUAUGUCUUAGCACAACGACUUUCUUAGUUAUUUUAAGCGCCAUUAUUAGAGAUUUAUUAGGCAUGGUGGGAGUGGUAUCGAUUAAAAUGGAAACACAUGUUUAGAAAUGUAGACCUUUUUAAAACCAGAGGUCUUUUGAAAGACAUGGAAUAACAUGUUAUAAUACAUAAAAAUAUAUAUGUAAAACGGUUAUAUUCUGUAUUUCCUACAUUUUAUUAUACAUUCUCUAGAAUCUGUUGCAAUAGAAAUAUAUUGGCUAACCCUCUAGAAUAUAUUUUAUAAAAGCCAUUUUAGGAAGAUAAACACAUCUGAGGCCACAGGAUACAUUUUAGAAAUUCUAAGUAAGUGUAAAUAUAAAAGUCUAUUAUGGGCUUAUCACCUGAACAUUUAAUCAAGAGAAAGAACAACUGCAUGUUUACUUGGGAGUUCUAAAUUAUGUCCACUGAUGUUUUGGCCCUUUUCCCAUUGAGAGGCAGGGUCUAGGUUACUGGACCAAUAGAACAAGGAAGUGACAUUGACGUUUUCCAGUCCUGGCCCUGAAGACCUGGCAGCUUCCACUUUCACUCUAGGAUCUAACAUUGUGAUCGACACCAUCAUCCAGCCCAUCAUUCAAAUCUGAAACUUUGGAGAAGUAGUCAACAACUUCUCAUUCAGUUUCACCAUCCAAUCAGUCAUGGAAUCCUGAUGAUCUUUAACUUCCUCCACCUGGCCCAAAUAUCUCCUUUCCUCUCUCUUCCAAUUUUGUCUUUAUUCUCAUUGUUCUGUAAUUACACAAUUUUCCUACUGAUUUCUAGAAUGAAAAACUGCUGCAUUCAUUUCCAUUAUUAACAUUCUUCCACGUUUGUGUGUCUUUUGGGAUAACAACCAAGUAUUCUCAGAACAGCACUAUAAAGCAGUAUAAUGUCAAAGGGAUCUGAGAUCAAAGCUUUGUUCUAGAUAACAGACGAGAUUAGAUCUUGGCACUGUUAACACGAACAGAGGCUGAUGAAAGAGAAAUAAUCUGAGGAGGGUAUAAGGUUGCAAAGAAGGAAAAACAAUGCUAAAACGUUAAAGUAUAAAUAGCAGUACUAAUAAAGCCUACGAGGUGGUGGCCUAGCUCCAGAUAGUCUUUUGUUUAGCAGAAUACUUUGAUGGACCAGUUCUUUGAGGGAAAUUAUAUCGCAGAGCCUAAUCAAAAGAUGAAUAAAGAUAUUACUUUCCAGAAGCCAAGUUUUGAAUAGCUGGCCUUUGAGGGUGAGUGAUAAGCAGAGUAGAGAGGUUAAAUGGUGAGGUGAAUGCCAGGUGUGAUCCUGGGAGAUGAUUCAUGGACUCAUCCUGCAGAACCUCGAGAACACAGCCCUGUGAAUGUCCAGUAAAAGGUACAUGGGGGCACGUGGAUCUGGCAAUAUGAUUUUUCCCUACACAGAUUGACUUAGACCCUAAGAAGUAUGUUGCAGUACCAUUCAAGCAAUAGUUUUAGCUCUUUCAUUUAUCAACCCCCAAAAUAAUGAUCGGGCAGCUAAAGUGUGUACAGUUCUGUGCUGGAAGCUUUGAGAAAUGCCCAAAACAAUACGUUCAUGGAAUUUGUGGACUUGCUGACCAGGAGUUCUCUAUAACUUUUGUUAAAACCAACAAUCUAUGUUUCUACGUAUUUUCAGCCAUUCCCAUAUUUGAUUGACAAUAGAUAUUAUUACUAGAUGGUCAUGAGUUAGGUGUAACAUAGAAGAAAAAUGGAUUUCCAUGAAUAUGAGUGUAUUUCAUUAGUAAAAAAUAUUUAUUAAUGAUAAUAUUAAAGUGACAAAUAUAGUUUUACUACAUAAAUUGCCUGUAUAUACAAGUAAAAUACAUGCAUUAAUACUUUUCAGUAUAUUGUUUGAAAUAUGCUUCCUUUGCACAAAUGUUUUAAUCAAUUUGGUUAAUUUGACAGGUCUCGAAAUAUCAAGGAAUGGACAAUUUAGUUGAAAAUACCUUUAGAAAUUCAUAAAAACCAGCAAGAUGCUUUUGCCUAGUGUGCCAGAUUUUUCCAGUGCUGAAUUUUAAAAGGUUGUUAAGGUUGCUGUUAGAUGAAGUUUCCUCACACUAUCUAAAAAUAGAUUAUCUACAUAGCCUCUUCAAGUUCCGAACAUAUUAUUUUCCCCCAAGAACUUAGAGGACAAUCAAAUUCAAAUAAAAAUUUAAAAAGCACAUCAAAAAUCAUCUUGUUCACUGAUUCUCUUUGUUCCGAAUAAAGGACAUUCUUGUCUACUACUUUGGUAGGGAUUUUGAGAAUAGCCUCUGAAACACUUCUUUUCAGAGAGAAAUACACACACACACACACACACACACACACACCCCAGUAUACUCACCUGCCUUUUUGCAAUAUAUCUUGUGUUUUGCUUAUCCAUAGAGCUUUUCAUUUUAACAUCUCUGAAAUACAGAUAAGACACACAGUCAAGGGUGCCUGGCAAUCACUCUUGGCAGGGGUGCAUUUUCCAUAUAUGCUUAAAACUUCUGAGACCCAUGACCCAGGCUGUCCUCUUCCACGCUGUACUCCUAGGUAGGAACUGAAAAAGCUAUGUGGAUAAUAAGCAGGGCCAGCCCGGAAGGGUAGGCUGUCCUGUGCAAGAAGCCUGGCCUAUGGGGAGCACUGCUUUGCAUGGACCUCACCACACUCUGGGGCUCAGCCACAGAGGGGCAGUAUACCUGUUUUUCCCUCUAAUACAUACAACACAGCCUAUUGGAGCAUUUCUGUACUAGCCCCAAAUGUCAAAAAACAUCCUUUAAUCUCUUUAAUCUCUGAGCUUAAAUUUUGGUUUUACUUUAACUCUGUGAUCUUGGCAAGUUACAUAACCUUUUAGUCCAAAUGAUUGCUUAUCUGUAGAAUGGAAGUAGUCAUCCACUGUAUGGAUUUUUGUAAGAUUUUUGGUACAAUGCAGAUUAAAAUUUUUGCAUAGUGACUGGACCAUAGUAGGGGAUAAUAUAAGCCAACUAUUGUUAUCAUUUUUGUUGUUAGUUACCACCAUAAAAUCUAUUUUUAAUAAUUUCAAAAAUUAUAUUGAACAUUGUCUUUGAUAACAUCUGCUUUCAACACUUACGAUAUGUCUUCAAACUCACUAAUCAUAAAAGAUUUAACAUUCCAGAAGCCCAUCGGCCAGAUAUAUAAGUCUCUAAAAUAUACUUAAAAUAAUCUCCCCUCUAAUGAGCCAAGUAAGAGUAUUAGGAGUAUUGUGAUAAAGAAUUGGCAAAAAGAUUGAUAUCAAAGUGGAAGUUUUUAUUUGACUGCUCAAAUACAAUGAAGGAAUGAUUUAUUUCUUUGAUGUAAUAUGAAAAGUGGCCAGAGCCCUUUGAGGACAAUGAAGAACAAUGACCUCACCGAUGUACAUGCAGCCUAUUCCCCAGUAAUUAGACAAAUCAUCCAUUUUUGUUUACUUUGCCUCAUAUUUUGUGCUUUGACAUCAGAACUUGUUCCAUGUCCAAGUUUCCAGAUUUUUUUUCAAACUUUCAAAACUGAACAUUCAAUAUGUUUCUCCUGCGGUCUGUCCUAGCUGUCAUAGAGCACUUUACUCAUCACAUCAGCUGAAGAAGAUCACACCAUUGAUGAAAGCAAUAAUACAGCCAACAUUGUGCCAUAGAAAUAUUAAUCUGACUUCUGCUUAUUAGAUAUGCCAGAGGGCAGAAAUAAUGGAAACAAGUAUAUAAAUUGGAAUGCUAUUUCAAUAGUUUAGCUAAUAUAUAUUGGACUUGCUACCAUAAUGAAUAUGAUUGUUGAGAGAUGGGCACAGGUAUAAGAACUGAUCUCAGGAAUAAUAACUGAUAUUAAUUGAUUUGAUGAUGGAAAAGUAUAAAAUCUAGUAGUGAAGUUUGGAAAAUGAUACAGUUAAUAUAAAACACAAUUUAAAAUUGGGAACAGGUUUAAUAGGUCUGGAACAUUCUGGAUUUAUGUUCAAGUUAGCAUAGAAACGAAUAGGAAGUGAUUAAUAUUGAGACUAGUGCUUGAAAGAGAGAACAAAUAUGUAAGUUACUGGUAAAGAAUUUUCCACAUAGAGAGUGGUUCAGAAAAAGUAGCACAGCAUCAAAGAAAGAAGGUUGAAAACGUACUUUCUAAGACGUCUGGUGAAGGAGCUAAGAGGAAUACUCAAAAAGUGACAGAAACCUGGCUGUCCCAUGUCCCAUGUCAUGUAAAUCAAAGAAAGGGCAGAGUUCAAAAGAAAUAUUCCAGCAUUGGAGACUGUCAUAUAAUGAAGAUACAAUGCAGUAAACUGAGGAAUGGAAAAAGCCACUGGAUGUAUCUAAUAUGUUUACUACGGGUUUUCAAGAGAACAGUUUUUGUAGCCAGGAUCGAGCAAAAGCCUGGUUGAAAGGACAAAAGGUGUAAAACUGGAGAAGGAGGUGGAAAAUUAAAAGAAUUUGAAAGAGUUACAAAAAUGCCACCCUAAAAUAUGAUGCUUUGCUCUGCUGAUUACUUGGAACUGAGGGCACUUUGGAAACAGCAAACACAGGCAGUGCAGGCAGAGGCUUUCUCUGGGCUCUGCUCAUCUGUCCAAAGACGGGUCCUCCCAAAGGAACUCAACUGUCAUGAAUACCCUCCCUCGGCAUUCAACCAGGAAAGAUUAAAGGAUCACUGGAGAGAACAUUAGAAUUUCACCCCAUGCCCAUUCAAUCAUUUAUUCCUCCUAAAGCUGCAGAGACUGAAUCGGCAUAACAGGACAAUCUUUGUGCCCCAUACCUUUCCUCCCUUCACCCUUCUAUAACUUGUGUCACCACCACCCCCCAAGAACCCCACAAUUCUAUGCCUCUCAGCUCAGGAUGCUAUAUAAGCUUCAAUCAUCUGACCAUUCUUUGAGUCUCAUAUAUUAUGGGAUUCUCAUGUGUACAUAAUUAAAAUAUUUUCCGUAUUAAUCUGUCCCAUGGCAAUUUAAUUUUAGUCCAGUCAAAGAACUUAGGAAGGUAGAAGGAAGCUGUUUUUUACUCCCAUGCAUACCUCCAUAAUAGUAAAAGUAAUAUAUAUUAUAGAGCAAAAUACAAUAGAAAGAAAUCCUGAUAAAGAAUAAAGUCCAGAAUAAGAGCGAAAGUCAUGUUUUACAAAAGGAAAUACAUGAUAAAGUAAGAUCUACAGAGGUUGGAGAGAAUGCUGUUUAGUAAAUACAUUGUAGGUAACUUCUCAAAAUAAAAUCCUCAGAUAAAAAUGUAAAAAUUAAAUAAUCAAAUAUACAAUUUUUAUCAUUUAAAUUAAAUACAAUUAUUGAUAUAGUUACAUUUAAACCCAUCAUCUUACUAUAUAUUUAUUUUCUAUUUUUUCAUUUUACUUCCAUUGUCCCACAUGUUCUGGGUUUUUAAUUUUCUAUUUUCUUCCUUCUUUUGAUUAAUUAAUUGCUUUUUGUAAUUCAGUUAAAAUGUGCUGGCUUAUUAGCUGCAACUCUUCACCAUUUUAGCAUUUGCUGUAGUGUCUAGAGCAUACAUCUUUAACUUUUCAGAGUCUACCACAGUCUUUCAUGUUAUAUCCCAACAAUUCCUAUAGUAUAAGAAACUUACAAUUAUGUACUUCCCAUUUUUUAAUCUACAUUCUUUGUGCUAUUUUUUCAUGUAUUAUACUUUUACCCAACAUACACACAAUAUAUACACUUAUAUCUAUAUAUAUUUGUACAUACAUAUACAUUUAGAUGUGCUAUAAACGUUACAAUAUAUUGUUAUUAAUUAUACUUACAUUCAAUUUUAUCUUAAAAAUUUUAAAUAUGGCAAAUUGUGUAUAUUUGCUCAGGUAGUUCAUAUUUCCAGUGUUUUGCAUUGUUUUUUCUGUAUUCUUAUUUCAAUUUUAUACAUUUUCCUUCUCUCUACAAGAUUUUCUUUCAUACUUCAGAUAUGCAAGUCCGUUUGUGACUAAGUCCUUCAAACACUUUGGCUAAAAAAGUACGUAUUUCACUUUUAGUUUGGAAAGACAUUUUUGCUAAGUAUAAAACUUGAGGUUUAUGGAUUUUUUUUUCCUUUCAGUACAUUAAAAAUGCUUUUCUAUUGUUUUCUCUCUUGUAUUUUUAACAGUGAGAAAUCAGGCAUUAUCUUUUAUCAUUACUCCAUACAUAGCAAUAGCAGGUUUUAUUUUUCCUGAUAACAUUUAAUACUGUUUCUUUAUCCCUGGUUUUGAGCAAUUUGAUUGUGAUUUAAGUUGCUGUCAUUUUCUUCAUAUUGCUUUUUCUUUGAGUUUAUUCAGUGUCUGUGAUCUGUGGAUUUAUAAUUUUCAUCAAAUUUAGAAAAUUGUCAGUAAUCUUUUACAAAUAUUUUAUGUAUCAAUUUUUUCCUUCAUUUGGGGGGGCUCUCUUGAUACAAAUUGAUCAAGUAAUUACACUGCUUAAUUUCUCACAGCCCUCUGUUGCCCUCUUUUUUAUUUUUAUUUUUAUUUUUAACUUUGAGUUGUUUUGUUCUCCUUGUGUGUCAUUUUGGAUAGGUUCUAUUGCUAUAUUUUUAACUUGAUUAAUUUUCUGCAAUGUCUAAUCUACUGUUAAUACCAGAAGUGCAUUAUAUUUUUAAAAAUCUCAGACGUGAUAAUUUUCUUCUCUUUGUCUUCAUUUGGGUCUUUUUAUAUGUCAGAUAGUUCCACUUAUCAUUUUCAAUAUUUGCAACACAGUUAUUUUAACUGUAUUAACAUCCUUCUGUGUUAAUUUUAAAACCUAUCCCAGUUUUCAGUUGUAUUGAUUAAUUUUCAUUAUUCUUGUGAAUAAUAAUUUUACUUUUUUGUAUAUCUGUUAACUUUUAGUUGAAAACAAGUUAUGGUGAGGUUUACAUUUCUAUAUGCUACAUAUAUUUGCAUUCAAAUAAUUUUUCCUAUGGUUUGUAGUGGGAUAAAGAUACAUUGCUUGAGAGCAGUUUGAUUCUUUCAGGUUUUACUUUUAUGACUUGUUAGAUAAGUCCAGGAUAGUUCUUGGCCAAGGGCUGGUCAAGUCCCAUUUCUGGAGCAAGGCUUCCUGCAUGCUAUACCGCAGGCUCCAUGACUGAUGAAGUUUCCACCUGGCUGAAGAACGGUCACCUCUCAGAUUUGGGGGCAGUUCUUUCUCUAGCCUCAGGUAGUCUUCUCACAAGCAUGUGCUUAUCAGAACUUUGCUAAAUAAUCACAAGUACCCUCUUUAGUUCUCUGGUGUUCUGUCCUUGAGCAGUUUGUUCUUCUCUGACACUGUGCCCAGCAAACCCGAACUGCAUGGUUUUCCUAGCCUCUCAGCUCUAACUCCUCAACCUCAGGAGUCCACCAAGCUAUGCAUGGGCUCCCCAAUGGUAAUUUUAAUUUUAUGGGUCAACUCAACUAGACUAUAGUGCCCAGUUGUUGGGUCAAAAUCUAGUGUAGAUAUUCUUGUGAAAAUAUUCUGUAGAUGUGAUUAACAUUUACAAACACUUGACUUCAAGCAAGGGAGAUUACUGUUGAUAAUGUGGGUGGGCAUCAUCCAAUCAGGUGAAGGACUGAAGAUGAAAAUUGAAGUUUUCAAAGAAGGAAUUCUGCCUCAAGGCUGUAAUGUAAGAAAUCCUUCCUGAUCUUCUGGCUUACUAGCCUGUCCCACAGAUUUCAGACUUGCCAGCAGUCCUCCCCAACAACUGUUUGAGCUACUGCCUUAAAACACACACACAUAUACAAACACACACACACACACACACACACACUCUUCAUCCUAUUGGCUCUGUCUCUCUGUAGAACCCUAAGUGAUAACUGAUACACUAUACUUAUAUUUUGCCCUGGAAGCUCUUUUAAAAAUCAGACUUACCUCAUUGUUUCUCACCUAUCAGGAUUUCUAUCCUUGCUGCCUUUUGCCCAGUGUCUUAAAACCCAUUGUUUCAUAGACACUGCCAUAUUUUGUUUGUUUCAGGAGAGAAGGUAAAUCUGGUUUCUAUUACUCCUUCUCCUGGAACUGGGAAGUUUUUAGUAACGUUCUUAGGUAUCAGUUUCUCUAAGAUGGCUUCACUCUCUUUGGGCCAAGCAGCUACUUAAAUCUGGCUGACCUCUUUCCCUUUGACACCCUUUUAUGCAUCCUCUGGAUACUUCUUGCUCAGUGCUAUUGACUUCACUUUCAUGGAUAGGAUUCUACUUCACCCUUAACUUCAGACUGCACUAGCCAACCCCCCAACCUCUUAAUUCUAGUGUCCAUUCGCCCCCUUACUGGGGUACGGGACUCUCCUGGAAAAACAUAUAUUUUAUAAGAAUGAUAAGCCCACAUCCCCAAAUGAGUUUGUUAUCUGAUUACCAGGACUUACAGAUUUGGAUUACUAGAUAAAACCCUCUUCAUUUUUACAUUCAUCUGCCAGAAAUAAGUAGCAUUUACUUAUCUCAGGGUACAUGUCAAGGUGCAAAAAGAGUGACUGUGCUAUGGUUUGAAUGUUCAUCCCCUCUGAAACUCGUCUUGCAACGUUGUUCUCAAUUUUGCAGCGUUGAGAGGUGGGGCCUUUGAGAGGUGAUUGGGUCAUGAGGGCUGCCCUCAUGAAUGGAUUAAUCUAUCCAUGUAUUAAUGGAUUAAUGAAUUAAUGGGUUAUCAUGGGAGUGGAAAUAGUGACUUUAUAAGAAGAGGAAGACAGACCUGAGCGAACAUGCUCAGCCUCCUCACCAUGUGAUUCUCUGCAUGGCCUUGGUAUUCUGCAGAGGGGCCCCACCAGCAAGAAGGCCCUCAUCAGAUGUGAUCCCUUGAUCUUGGACCUGCCUACCUUUGGGAAAUAAAUUUUGUUUCUUGUAAGUUACCCAGUUUCAGGUAUUCCGUUGUAAGCAACAGAAAACAGACUAUGAUGAAUACCAUUUUUUCUGGCAUUAACUCACAAUGUCAGUUCAGGUUGCUCAUUAUAGUCUUCUGUGUCUUGGUGUCCACCUGUCUUCUUUACCUUUAUGGACUUUUAUAAAAAGGUUGUCUAACCAUCAAUCAUCUAUCUAGCACCUAAAUCUCUAUAUGUGUUUAUCUUUCCACAUUUAAAUAUCUAAAGGAAAAAUUGUACAUUCCAUUUGAAGAAGUCAUCCACUUACAUUUCAGCAGAGAGUUUUGGGAGGAACUCAAGAACACCUAAACAAAAAGAAACCUGAAGACCAGACAGUAGCAUGUUAUAGCCAAAUUCUGAUUAAAAUGUGUUCUUUGACAUUUGAGAGGUCUUUUGAUUUCUAAGUAAAUGUGUUUUGAUUGACUUAGGUAGUCCUGUUGAACCUGUUAGGUAGUUCUGUCCCGUGUCCCAUCUAUUAAAGCUUCAGUUGUCCUUGAUAUUUAAGAGUUAAUGGUGUAGUAAUUUGUGCCAUGACUAACAAGGCUGAAUUACUUGUCAACACUGUGGCAGGUAUCUGUUUCCUAGUAACUCUUCAUGGGUCAGAUAUUGAGGUCAGUUCUGAAGAACUUGAGGAAAUGAGAGUAAGUAAGGAGAGAAAUGCUGGGUCGGACCUUACAUUUAAAAUUUUUUUUCAUGGAGAAAAACAUGAUCUUUGUGAAGAUGGAAGCAACUGUAAGUAAGCACUUAUGGAAUGUCUAGAAAAUUACUAUGAGGUAACCCUAAGGUCAAUGGAAUGCAUUAGAAUAUCUCUGCUUCUAGAGAAAAAAUAAAAUAAAAUAAAUGCUUAGCCAGAAAAAGAAAACAUGAGAUCAAACUUCUGCGUGUAAUAUCUUAAAGAGAUAUGAUUCACUUAAAUAAUUUUCCAAGCCUCUGUUAUUUACAAGGCAAAAAAAGAGAUCAUUUGAUUAAAUUUAAAUGGAAGUUUAUUUUGCCUUUCAUGUUCAUUUCAUACCAAAUGUAUGACGGUGUUCAACAUAUUUUAUGUGCUUUCUAUACCCCCCGUUUGCAAUACAAGUUGUCUUAAAUAUGAUCAAUAGAUUCAGUAUAUUGAUGUCCUUUGAAUGAUACUGAGAGCACAAUUUUGUGUUUGUUUUCUGUCUAAUCAUUUUCAGAAUCUGCUAUGAUGACACAUAUGGCAGGAUCUAUGAUAAAGCAAUUGUGCGUAUACAGACAGAAAUGAACCUAAAAUAUAACUUUGUAUUAAUGAAAAAAAUUGACAUUUGAUGGCGAAUAUUGUUAAUUGCAAUAAUAAGUAGAACACUGAAUGUAUAUGUAGAGGGCUGAGCAGUGUCCUCCCGAAAUAAAUACCUAUGUGGGAUCUUAUAAUGUGACCUCAUUUAGAAACAGGGUCUCUGCAGAAGUAAUUAGUUAAGGUGAGGUCAUACUGAUUUAGAGUGGGCCUUAAAUCUAAAGAAUGGUAUCCUCCUUAUAAGAAGGAGGAGGAUACACAGAGAAACACAGGAAAGGCCAGAUGACCACAGAGGCAAUGGAACAGACACUCUCCCAAAGCCUACAAAAGGAGCCAAUCCUGCUGACACCGUGAUUUCAGACUCCUGGCCCUCUGAGUUGUGAGAGUACAUUUCUGCUAUUUUAAGUUUGUAGCCAUUUGUUACGGCAACCCUAGGAAACUAAUAUAGUGCAUCCUGAUUACACUUAAAAAUUAAUUAAGUUAACUCUACCUCCAUAUUUCCCCAUACACUUUGUAUAAUCUAAUUUUUAAAUCAAGAUAAUAUGAUAGACUUUAAAAAAUAAUCUUCCCAAGCUACCUAAUUAAUUUUCUUCCAAUAACAUUACUCAGCAUAGUUUUUAUUUCUAAUGAAAAAUAUACAGCAAAGGAUUAUUUAUAAUGUGAUGGUUAACAUCAGUGUCUUGCUAAGAGUGUCUCACUCUUAAUACAAGAGACCUGUCUUUCCAAUGCAGUGCACUUGGUGGUGCACCUCCCACCGCCCCCUGGAGGACAAAGUGCUCAUAGCCCAAUUGCCCAGAAGGUUGAUCACAGGCAGCUCUCAGCUGAGACCCUCUCUGCAACUUCCCUUUGCUAAAGACAGCCACUUUGCCCCAAGACCAUGCCUCCUUUUUGGGGCAGCACACAUAGGAUGCCAAACAACAGCGGGGAUAAAGGCCAUCCCUUUUGUUUUCAUUAGGCAAUGCUCUAGUGCCUUUCCAGUUAGACAGAGCCUGCUGGGGUGGGUCGGUGUGACUGCUGAGGUCUUGUGAGAGCGUGAAAGCUUUCCACUUCCUCCUCUGCCCAGUCCUCCUUGUUCCUUCAUUACCCAAGAUGUGUUCAUCCCAAAAGCACCCCCAAUACAUUUCUUGCACACAAAUAUCAGUCUCACUGUUUUGCUUUCCCAGAAACCCUGAGUCACAGGAGAAAUAUCUUCAAGUCCAAUCUAAGCCACCAGUUCAAUCAUAUUUAGAAAAAGUUGAUAGAAUAUUCUGCCACAGUUUUCUCCCCAACAAAAAGAAGUCUGUACUCCUUGGUUAUUUGGCUUAGGUCUCCUAUAGGUCUAAACUACUGAGCAAUUCUAUAGCUAUUCCAUAUAUUUUCUCCCAAAUAAUACAAGCCCAAUAUAAUGGCAUAUGCUGGUUAUGAAAUAUGGAAAGGGUUGAGCUGCGGAUGUGAAUAAUAGCACAUAAAUACAUAUUUUCUGACCAUAGUCUGUUCAAUAUUUAGGAUUUUGCAAAAUGAAAAGAGAUAAUAAACAUAAGAAACAUGAAAAGGAGAGAAAGAGGGAAAUGAAGAGACUGUGUUUUGAGACAAAAAACUAAUUUUUAUUAACUGUGAGUAUUAAUGCUAUGGUCAAACUUUAGCAGUCAGUGUUAGCACAUGGUAGAUAUAAAUCACCUGAAACAAAGCUUACCUUUUCUUCCCAGUCUUCUCACUCUAAUCUAAAAAUUAUGAAAAAAAAAUGGACAAGGAAAGAAACAUAAGAGGCUUCUUAUUUCUUGCAUGCUCACUUUUAUACUGUAACUAGAAGAUUCCAAACAAAUACUGAUUGCAAAUUAUAUAAGGGAUGCUGCAUUUUGAAAUAAGUUAUAACCUCAACUCUUUUUUCCUAUUUAAUAUAAGUUUUGUAGGCUAAACUUGCCCUCUGAGAAGAUUGUUGAACAGGCAAGUGAAGUAAUUUGCUUGGUGUAAUCUUGGUGCUGAGGGAGAUAACUCCUUCUGUAUGAUAUUUAUAUAACGAGUCUUAUACCCACAAUUAGCUUUAGGAUGCCAUCUUAAAGGUGACCUUGAUUUAUUUAGCUGGUUAGUCAGUAGAUACUUUAUGGAGUUCAAUAUUCUAAAGAUUGAUCAGAAAAGGAAACUUUUAAUGUCCUUAAUGGGGUCAUUAGUGAUAUUACGGAGUGAAAUUAAACUGAAGGACAACCUCAACAAACCUUUUUUUAGUUCUAAUAGCAUACCCCUGGGAAAGUUAAUAGCUAGUAUAAAUUGGUGCCUAUUUCCUUUAUCUCAUUUUCAUUAUCUAGCUUAAAUAGAUAACAGAUGAUUAUGUUGAAUAUAAAUUAGAAGCAUUGCCUGUUUUCUAAACUUGACUCUUAUAAAAAUAAAUGCAUAAACCUUUAUAAAGUCAAGGAGAAUUUUUAUGGAGAUUCCAUGGUACUUUCCAAAAGUUGGUACUUUUUUAUGGUCAAUAACAGAACUGUUAACUUUUUUCACUGUGGAAUGACAGCAGUGGAUGCGUGACUCAACCAUUGAUUUCAAUUUUGAUUUGUGAAUAAUUACUCCAGAUGAUGAAGUGUGAGUUGCAACUCUCAUCAGGAAGGAAAGUAUCAGCCAGAGAGACAGUUUUCCACAUCCUAGGACAGAACACAGUUUCAUGUGCUGCACCCCAGUGAGGACUCUGUGAUACCUGGAGUGAACUCUGGAUAGAGAAAGAGAUUUAAAAGAACACCUGAAGGGAAAUAAGAAGAGAAACAGAAUAUGAAGAGGAUUCAACCAAAUAGAGCCAAUGAAGGAGACAGAGCAACUUAAAUAAUAAGAGCAAUUUUAAAAAAUGGGACAAAAAGGAAAGGAUACUCAGUGCAUAGUUGAUGGCUUAAGAAAAUAAGAUUUUUUUAUAUUAUACUUUAAGUUCUAGGGUACAUGUACACAACAUGCAGGUUUGUUACAUAUGUAUACAUGUGCCAUGUUGGUGUGCUGCACUCAUUAACUCGUCAUUUACAUUAGGUGUAUCUCCUAAUGCUAUCCCUCCCACUUCCCCCACCCCAUGACAGGCCCUGGGGUGUGAUGUCCCUCACCCUGUGUCCAAGUCUUAUUGUUCAGUUCCCACCUAUGAGUGACAACAUGCAGUGUUUGGUUUUCUGUCCUUGUGAUGGUUUGCUCAGAAUGAUGGUUUCCAGCUUCAUCCAUGUCCCUACAAAGUAGGACACGAACUAAUCCUUUUUAUGGCUGCAUAGUAUUCCAUGGUGUAUAUGUGCCACAUUUUCUUAAUCCAGGCUAUCGUUGAUGGACUUUUGAGUUGGUUCUAAGUCUUUGCUAUUGUGAAUGGUGCCGCAAUAAACAUACAUGAACAAAAAAAGUCCUUUUUUCAUGAUGUUCUCUUAUUUCUUGCUGAAAUAAAUGAAAAGAUUCAGUAUGUCCAAGUAUCCUUUAUAGCUAGGACCAGUGGUAUAGGAAGCUAGCCUCAAACUGUUUAUAAUAAAUAUGCAGGGAAAUCCAGAUAUUAGAAAGUCCAAUGAUAAAUCCAGUAUAAAUUUAUCAUAAUACAUAUUAAAAAAUAAAGCAAAUAAAAGCACCAAAAAGCCAACUAGAGCUAACAAACAAGUUUGCCAGAUCACAGAAUACAAAAUGAACAUAUAAAAAUAAAUAAAACCCAGUCACAAUAGUAUCAAAGACAAUAAAAUACUUAAGAAUAAAUUUAACAAAAGAAGUGUAACACUUGUAUGCUGAAAACUACAAAAUAAUGAUGAGAGAAAUUAAAAAUCUAAAUGAAUCAAGACACAUUCUAUAUUUAUGGUUGGAAGUCACAAUAUGUUAAAAUACCAUUUCUACCUUAAUUUAUCUGUCAAUUUCAACAGAAUCCAUUUCAAAGUCGCUGUGAGCUUUUUUUGUAGAAAUUAAAUGUUGAUCCAACAAAUUUAUACAGAAAUGAAAGUACUUGAAGCUUGAACCGUUUUCAAAAAAAUGAACAAAGUUGUAGGACUCAUAUUGCCUAAUUUAAAAAAUUACUAUAAGGUUGUAAUCAAGACAUUAUGAUAUACAUAAAGGAAUAGGUUAGAUCAGUGAAACAGUGUCAGAGUCAAGAAAUUUACCCCUACAUUCAUGGUCAAUUGCUUUCCGAAAAAACUGCCAAUUCAAUUCAGUUUGGAAAAGAUUGUCUUUUUACCAAAUGGUGGCAAGACAAUUUAAUAUCUACAUAAAAAAAUAAGAAGAAGAAGGAGAAGGAGGAUGAGGAGGAGGGGAUGGAGGAAAAGCUUCAUCCUUACCUCCUCAUGCCAUACACAGAAAAGAACUCAAAAUGCAUUACAGACCUAAAUGUAAAAUCCAAUAAUAGAAAGCUUCUAAAAGAAAACACAGGAGAAAAUCUAUAUGACCUUGAGUUAAACAAAGAGUUUUAGACGUGACAGCAAACACACAAUCUAUAAAAGAAAAAGAAAAAAUAAAUUAUAUUUCAAUAAAAUUAAAACAUUUUGUACUUCCAAAGAUACCAUUCAGAAAAUAAAAAGACCAGUUACAGACCAGGCAAAAACAUUUCCAAAUCGUAUAUCUGAUAAAAUACUUGCAGCUUAAAUGUAUUAAGAACUCUUAUAUCUCAGUAACAGACAACUCUAUAUUAAAAUGGACAAAAGGGUUUUUUUUAACAAAGAAGACAUAUGCAUGGUUAAUAAGCACAUAAAAAGGUGUUCAACAUCAUUAAUCAUUUUGGCAGUUUCUUAAAAAGUAAACUAUGAGCUUAUCAUAGAUUCCUACAAUUUUUCUCCUAGAAAUCUACUCAGUAGAAUAUGUGUAUCCACACGAGGACUUGGACAUAAGCACAUACUGCAGAAUUAUUCGUAAUAGCCAAAAAUGGCAACGUUCCAAAUGUCUAUCAACUGAUGAAUGAACCAACAAAAUGUGGUAUAUCUAUGCAGUGAAAUGGUAAUCAUGAUAAAUGACAUGAAUGAACUGCUGACAUAGUCCAUGACAUGGAUAAAGCUAAACUAUACUAAGCCAGGCAUUGGAAAACUUUUUUCUUAAAGGGCCAAAUAGUAAAUGCUUUAGGCUUUUCAGGUCCUAUUGUCUCUGUCAAUAACUCAAUUCUAUUGUUCCACAAAAGCAGCCAUAGACAAUGCAUAAACACAUGAGCAUGGCGUGUACCAUGAAAACUUUACAAAAAGAGACAGCAUGCCCACAACCCAUAGUUUGCCCCAAUCUGUGCUAAGUAAAAGAAAGAAAAUGCAAAAGUCUACAUAUUAUAUUAUUCCAUUUACAUUACAUAUCCAGAAAAGGCAUAUUACAAGAAUAGAAAACGGUGGAUUCCUGGGUCUGGAUGAGAGAACUGAGAUUGACUGGAAAUGGACUUGGGGAAAGUUUUAGGGGGAUAUAGUAAUUUUGUAAUCAUGGAUUAUGGUGAUUCCAGCACCGCUAUAUAAAUUUACUAAAUAUCAUUAAAUUUUCCACUUACAAUGAGCAAAUUUUGUGGCAUGUAAUUUAAACCUCAAUAUAGCUGUAAUGAAUAAACAAAAAGAAAAAUCAAGACUAAAUAAAAUAAGCAAUUGUUCAAUUCCUAUCAUUGGAAAAUGGAAAAGUAAGAAAUAUUUACAGAAAAUAACUUAAAUGUCCUUCUUGCUACUGUUGUAAGAAAAAGCAAAUAUUGGCAGUUAAUUAUGAAAAUAUUUCUCAUGAACUCAUGACCAAAAAUGAAGAGAAAUUUCAGAAAAUUUGCCUGCUCUGUCUGAUUGAUUUGUCGGCUUCUGAAUGAUCCUCUCCAGUCUCUCGAUAACUAGCAAGAUUUACAAGCUCUGCCAAUGUCAAUUGUCACCCACGUUGCAGAAUAUUCAGCAUAGUCUGAAGACCCUGGUCAAAGGGGAAAAUAUAAUAGAUUUUCAAUAAGUUGGUGUUGACAACUAGUAAAAUGACUAUACUUUUAAAAUUUAAUUAAUAUAUGUAAAAGUAGUAGUAGCUGAACUGUCAUAUUCUG